rnacentral:lncRNA from 1 species
AAAGAGAUGUAUAAUGAAAAAACUGCAGUAAAAGAAAUACACUGAUGAAAAAAUGGUGAAAGUAAACGAAGUAACAGUGUGUGGGAUAAACAAAAUUAUGGGUACAGUAUAACAGUAAAAAAAAAAGUGAUCAAAGAGGCGUACAAAGGGAAAACUGGAGCAAAAAAUACACUGAUAUA